rnacentral:lncRNA from 1 species
CCUCCAGUUAGGACUUUGGGUCCCUAGGAGCUGACUGAGCUGAUUUAGGGGUGCUCCCCAAGAAGAUCAGGACUGCUGAAAGAAUGAAGAAGAACUUACUUGGCCUAGGAUGUGGCUAGAGAACGGAGCGCACUUUCACUUACCUGGCAAGGUGGUUUUGGAAGUUUCCACGGAAGCCUUCCCAGGGCCGCUGCUGCCCGUCCUCGCCUAGAAGAAUUCCAUUCUCCCAUCCCAGGAAGGAGAGUGCCCUGCGUGCCACGAAAGAGCCCAGGACCCACAGGACAAAUACGUCACUGGCAGACCUGCCUUCGCCAGCGCCAGCCCAUCUCUGAAACCUCCAGCAUUUGUGCCCCGGUCCGGCCCCUCCCAGGCCUGACUCUUUCCGUGAACGGUCACUGCGCAGGAUCAAGCUACAAUGAAGAGGAGGGAGGCAGUCUGCGCGCACCGCCAUUUUCUAGGAACUGGGAAGCCCCCCCACCCCUUAGGAAGAUCCAUCCCUGUGGAACCUUGCCCAGGCUUACCAGCCUUUGCUGAGGUUGAUCUAUUGUCCCUCCUUGUCCCCAUCAAAAUAUCCAGCACUCCACCUUCAGGGAGUAGACUUGACCCUCAAAUAGCAAGUUCAGCCUUCCCAGGUCUAGGUUCCCUGGGAGGUCAAGAUUCGUCUGGUUCCUUAGUACAGAGGGCUAGCUGUGAGUUGGAAUCCCCCUAUGAGCUUUAGAAUCAGUCAAGAGGAAUUGGGCCCCUUCCCUUCAUCCCUCUUCUUUUCCCUUUUUGUCCCAGAGCUCAGCUCUGACUCAAAAGUUUUUCCAUUUACCAUCAACAUGGAAACUUGGCUCCUCACGUAGGUAUAUUAUCCCCCUUUUGUACAUGGUCUUGUUGAUCCAAACUCCCUUUCUGUGAAAGAGGCCUGUGGGGCUCAAGAAGCCUGGUCAGCCAGCCAGGCUAGUCCCACAUACCUCAGAACCAGUUUAAUAAAGGCUCUAUGUCAUUCUUUUUUG